rnacentral:rRNA from 1 species
CCUACGGGAGGCAGCAGUGGGGAAUUUUGGACAAUGGGCGAAAGCCUGAUCCAGCCAUUCCGCGUGCAGGACGAAGGCCUUCGGGUUGUAAACUGCUUUUGUACGGAACGAAAAAGCCUUGGCCAAUACCCAAGGUCCAUGACGGUACCGUAAGAAUAAGCACCGGCUAACUACGUGCCAGCAGCCGCGGUAAUACGUAGGGUGCGAGCGUUAAUCGGAAUUACUGGGCGUAAAGCGUGCGCAGGCGGUUAUAUAAGACAGAUGUGAAAUCCCCGGGCUCAACCUGGGAACUGCAUUUGUGACUGUAUAGCUGGAGUGCGGCAGAGGGGGAUGGAAUUCCGCGUGUAGCAGUGAAAUGCGUAGAUAUGCGGAGGAACACCGAUGGCGAAGGCAAUCCCCUGGGCCUGCACUGACGCUCAUGCACGAACGACGGUGGGGAGGACGAAACGAAGGAGUUAGUACUACCGUACGGUACGUACCGACCGACCCGUAAACCGUAACGUAGUACUAACUAGGUUGGUUUGGGUUCGUUCUAC